CAGACAGUCAGCAAGGGAAGGUGUUCCCGUGUUCUAGCUGGAUGAGCAGCGGGGGCUGAGACAGGGAUGCCUGGAGUUGGUCCCUGGACGGCCUGAAGCGGCGGAGCCCUCCUGGUGCUGAGGGACACUUGGUGCUGGCGUGCCUGCUGUCCGCUCUGCGCUCGGAAGCUUGCCUCGCAUGGAAUUGCCCUGCCAGCAAGUCUUAGUGCUUCCCCACAACCACAGAGCUCCUCCAUCGCGUGAAAGGCGUGCUCUGCCCGCCUCCACCCUCUCAGCCCCCAGGUGCAGCCCUCAAUGCAACGGGGGCUGAACAUGUUUCGUGGACUCGGCAGGUCCUGGUGGCUCAGGACGGCGCAAAAGAAAUAUCUCCAAGCAAAAUUGACCCAGUUUUCAAGGGUAGACAGAAUUCAACCUUGGAAACCUCCAAACACAGAUGAAAACAGGAUUUUGUUUAGCAUUGAAGGACCUUACUCAGAAGUACUCUGACAAGCUAGAAUGUUGUGGAAAUGAAGUAGAGAAGAUAACUGAAGAAAGAUGAUGCAAAACAAUUGAGCUUGGCACAGGAAUGAAAAUGGUAAGACAACAGGAAUGGCUAUAAUUGAGGUAUUUUUACCUCCAUGACUAAGAAAAGAUAGAAGAACCUCUUGGAAACCCGACUGCACAUCACCAGCAGAGACCUGAGGUCUGAAAUAGCCAAAACCUUUGGAUUUCAGAAAAUUAUGUCAAAAUUGUCAUCUAUAAGAAACAACCUCAACUAGGUAUGUUAUGGAAAAGUGUGCAGAAUUUUAAAAUAGAGAUAUCCUAUAUAAUAAAAGGGUAAUAUGCAAAUCGA